rnacentral:rRNA from 1 species
UAGGGGGCAAGCGUUGUCCGGAAUCAUUGGGCGUAAAGCGCGUGUAGGCGGCUGAGUAAGUCUGCUCUGAAAGCCCGGGGCUCAACCCCGGGAGGCGGGUGGAUACUGCUCAGCUCGAGUCCGGAAGAGGCGAGUGGAAUUCCUGGUGUAGCGGUGAAAUGCGCAGAUAUCAGGAGGAACACCAAUGGCGAAGGCAGCUCGCUGGGACGGUACUGACGCUGAGACGCGAAAGCGUGGGGAGCAAACAGG